UACGUAGGGUGCGAGCGUUGUCCGGAAUUAUUGGGCGUAAAGAGCGUGUAGGCGGUUUGUCGCGUCUGCUGUGAAAGCCCCGGGCUUAACUCCGGGUCUGCAGUGGGUACGGGCAGGCUAGAGUAUGGUAGGGGAGACUGGAAUUCCUGGUGUAGCGGUGGAAUGCGCAGAUAUCAGGAGGAACACCGAUGGCGAAGGCAGGUCUCUGGGCCAUAACUGACGCUGAGAAGCGAAAGCAUGGGUAGCGAACAGG
rnacentral:rRNA from 1 species